AUUAUCAGAGAAAUUACUGCAAUAAACAAUAAUAUUGUUGUUUUGAGACCAUUUUCCAAUAAUAUAAUAGUAAUGCCAUAAUAGUGAAAGAACAUUCUUCAACUUUACAUUUUAAUUAACAUUUAACACUGGAACUGGAAGACAUUUUAAACAUCCAAAAUAAAUAAACAGAAACAAG